rnacentral:rRNA from 1 species
UAAUACGGGGGGGGCAAGCGUUGUUCGGAAUUACUGGGCGUAAAGGGCACGCAGGCGGCCUGAGAAGUUCUAGGUGAAAGCCCUCGGCUUAACCGAGGAAUGUCCUAGGAAACCAUCAGGCUAGAGUGCUGGAGAGGGGAGUGGAAUUCCCGGUGUAGCGGUGAAAUGCGUAGAUAUCGGGAGGAACAUCGGAGGCGAAGGCGACUCCCUGGACAGACACUGACGCUGAGGUGCGAAAGCUAGGGGAGCAAACGGGAUUAGAUACCCCGGUAGUCCUAGCUGUAAACGAUGGGUACUUGAUGUGGGGGGUGAUGAGAAGUCCCUCCGUGUCGGCGAUAACUCGAUAAGUACCCCGCCUGGGGAGUACGGUCGCAAGGCUG